rnacentral:rRNA from 1 species
AGAACGAACGCUGGCGGCAUGCCUAAUACAUGCAAGUCGAACGAACUCUUCGGAGUUAGUGGCGCACGGGUGCGUAACGCGUGGGAAUCUGCCCUUGGGUUCGGAAUAACAGUUGGAAACGACUGCUAAUACCGGAUGAUGACGAAAGUCCAAAGAUUUAUCG